rnacentral:rRNA from 1 species
UACGGGGGGGGCAGCAGUUGUUCGGUGAAUUACUGGGCGUAAAGGGUUUGUAGGUGGCUUGUUAAGUCAGACGUGAAAUCCCUCAGCUUAACUGGGGGAACUGCGUCUGAUACUGGCGAGCUUGAGUGCAGGAGAGGAACGCGGAAUUCCAGGUGUAGCGGUGAAAUGCGUAGAUAUCAAGCGGAACACCAGUGGCGAAGGCGAGUCCCUGGACAACUCCUGACACUGAUGCACGAAAGCUAGGGGAGCAAACAGG